UAGGGCGAAAGCCUGAUGCAGCAACGCCGCGUGCGGGAAGAAGGCCUUAGGGUUGUAAACCGCUUUCAGCAGGGAAGAAAAUGACGGUACCUGUAGAAGAAGGUGCGGCCAACUACGUGCCAGCAGCCGCGGUGACACGUAGGCACCAAGCGUUGUCCGGAUUUAUUGGGCGUAAAGAGCUCGUAGGCGGUUCGGUAAGUCGGGUGUGAAAACUCUGGGCUCAACCCAGAGCCGCCACCCGAUACUGCUGUGACUCGAGUGCGGUAGGGGAGCGGGGAAUUCCUGGUGUAGCGGUGAAAUGCGCAGAUAUCAGGAGGAACACCAGUGGCGAAGGCGCCGCUCUGGGCCGUGACUGACGCUGAGGAGCGAAAGCGUGGGUAGCAAACAGGAUUAGAUACCCUGGUAGUCCACGCCGUAAACGUUGGGCACUAGGUGUGGGUCUCAACCAACGAGAUCCGCGCCGUCGCUAACGCAUUAAGUGCCCCGCCUGGGGAGUACGGUCGCAAGACUA
rnacentral:rRNA from 1 species